rnacentral:rRNA from 1 species
UACCCUUUUCUACGGAAUAACGCAGGGAAACUUGUGCUAAUACCGUAUGUGUCCUUCGGGAGAAAGAUUUAUCGGGAAAGGAUGAGCCCGCGUUGGAUUAGCUAGUUGGUGGGGUAAAGGCCUACCAAGGCGACGAUCCAUAGCUGGUCUGAGAGGAUGAUCAGCCACAUUGGGACUGAGACACGGCCCAAACUCCUACGGGAGGCAGCAGUGGGGAAUAUUGGACAAUGGGCGCAAGCCUGAUCCAGCCAUGCCGCGUGAGUGAUGAAGGCCCUAGGGUUGUAAAGCUCUUUCACCGGAGAAGAUAAUGACGGUAUCCGGAGAAGAACCCCCGGCUAACUUCGUGCCAGCAGCCGCGGUAAUACGAAGGGGGCUAGCGUUGUUCGGAAUUACUGGGCGUAAAGCGCACGUAGGCGGAUCGAUCAGUCAGGGGUGAAAUCCCAGGGGCUCAACCCUGAGAACUGCCUUUGA